rnacentral:tRNA from 1 species
UGAUAAGAAGAGGACUUGAACCUCCGUCUUCGGGGCUACAACCCGCCGCCUAACUCUCGGCCAUCUUACC